rnacentral:rRNA from 1 species
GCCAAAAAUCUAAGGUUUCCUGAGGAAGGUUCGUCCGCUCAGGGUAAGCCGGGAGCUAAGGUGAGGCGGAAACGCGUAGCCGAUGCACAUACGGUAGAGAUUCCGUAGCCUCCGAAAAGUAAAGCACAGGGACGCUUCAGAAGUGUUACGCCGGGCGAUGGUAGCCCCGGUUGUAAAGGACACAAUUGAGUGGAAGGUAACAUGGAUGGAGACAAGAAAAGCUGUGUGUAUCUGGAAGGAGCCCGUACCGCAAACCGACACAGGUAGAUAGGAAGAAGAUUCUAAGGCCAGCGGGAGAAGGGUUGUUAAGGAACUCGGCAAGUUGACCCCGUAACUUCGGGAGAAGGGGUGCUUACGAAGGUAAGCCGCAGAGAAUAGGCCCAAGCGACUGUUUAGCAAAAACACAGCUCUAUGCUAAAUCGAAAGAUGACGUAUAUGGGGUGACACCUGCCCGGUGCUGGAAGGUUAAGAGGAGAUGUGAGAGCAUUGAAUUGAAGCCCCAGUAAACGGCGGCCGUAACUAUAACGGUCCUAAGGUAGCGAAAUUCCUUGUCAGGUAAGUUCUGACCCGCACGAAUGGUGUAACGAUUUGGGCACUGUCUCAACAACCUACCCGGCGAAAUUGUAGUACCGGUGAAGAUGCCGGUUACCCGCGACUAGACGGAAAGACCCCAUGGAGCUUCACUGUAGCUUAAUAUUGAAUUUUGGUAUUUCAUGUACAGGAUAGGUGGGAGACUGGGAAAUACAGGCGUCAGCUUGUAUGGAGUCACUGUUGGGAUACCACUCUUGAGGUGCUGAAAUUCUAACCUGCGUCUUUGAAUCAAGACGGGGGACAUUGUUAGGUGGGCAGUUUGACUGGGGCGGUCGCCUCCAAAAGAGUAACGGAGGCGCUCAAAGGUUCGCUCAGCAUGGACGGAAACCAUGCCAAAGAGUGCAAACGCAAAAGCGAGCCUAACUGCGAGACUGACGGGUCGAGCAGUAACGAAAGUUGGAGUUAGUGAUCCGGCGGUAUGUGAGUGGAAAUGCCGUCGCUCAACGGAUAAAAGCUACCCUGGGGAUAACAGGCUGAUCUCCCCCAAGAGUCCACAUCGACGGGGAGGUUUGGCACCUCGAUGUCGGCUCAUCGCAUCCUGGGGCUGAAUUCGGUCCCAAGGGUUUGGCUGUUCGCCAAUUAAAGCGGUACGCGAGCUGGGUUCAGAACGUCGUGAGACAGUUCGGUCCCUAUCUGUCGUGGGCGUAGGAUAUUUGAAAGGAGCUGUCCCUAGUACGAGAGGACCGGGAUGGACGCACCUCUGGUGAACCAGUUGUCACGCCAGUGGCACGGCUGGGCAGCUAAGUGCGGAACGGAUAAACGCUGAAAGCAUCUAAGCGUGAAGCCGACCUUAAGAUAAGAUAUCCGUUCUUCGGAAUAAGACCCCUUGUAGACUACGAGGUUGAUAGGCUUAAAGUGUAAGCAUGGUGACAUGUUUAGCUUGCAAGUACUAAACGGUCGAUUGCUUUU